rnacentral:rRNA from 1 species
AACGAACGCUGGCGGCAUGCCUAACACAUGCAAGUCGAACGAGACCUUCGGGUCUAGUGGCGCAUGGGUGCGUAACGCGGGGGAACCUGCCCUUAGGUUCGGAAUAACUCCCCGAAGGGGGUGCUAAUAACGGAUAAUUUCUUCGGACCAAGGAUUUAUCGCCUUUGGGUGGGCCCGCGUUGGAUUAGCUAGUUGGUAGGGUAAAAGGCUACAAAGGCGACGAUCCAUAGCUGGUCUGAGAGGAUGGUCCGCCACACUGGGACAGAGACACGGCCCAGACUCCGACGGGAGGCAGCAGGGGGGAAUAAGGGACGAUGGGCGAAAGCAUGAGCCAGCAAGGCCGCGUGAGUGAUGAAGGCCGUAGGGUUGUAAAGCUCUUUUACCCGGGAUGAUAAGGACGGUACCGGGAGAAUAAGCUCCGGCUAACUCCGU